AAUCAUAAAAGUUAGAAAUGCCUGAGAAAAGAAUAAAAUUGGUGGUAUCAGCUCGCACUGUCCUGCCUCUGCAAACCUCCUUUGGAAAGGAGAGGUUAACUCUCAACAGUUGCUUUCCCAACUUUCCCUCUAAGUGGUAGGUCUCUGGAGCUGAGCUCUAGUCUGCCUCCUUCUCUAGGCUGCCAGGCUGCUCACCUCAGUCUAACCAUUGCCUGCCGUGUUUAAAAAGUUGACCAGCCAGGAGCUUGGCAGGACCCACAGAAACAGUUCAGUUUGCACAGAAACUUUCCCAACAUGGGGAGGAGACAUUUUACAGAACAUACCUUUCUCAUUAUUGCCUGGACAUACCAAUUUGAACACAAAAGUGAAUAUUAUUUUUUCAAUUUAAUAAUGCAUUCGACUAUAAAGAUCAGUGUAGUUAACCUUCGUUCCGGCCAAGACCAAGAAGGGUUAAUGGACACCCGGCUCCUGACACCUUCCAGGUCAGCUUGGCUUGCGAACUUCCAACGCAGGAAUUGGAGGAUUACCGAGGAAGGAAUGCGAGGUAUCCGAUAGCCUCACACCUGAACACGGUCGCUUCAAUCCACUGGGAUUCAUUUAAAAAAAAAAAAGAAAUUCUCUUCUGGAAAACGGUUAAUUGGAUCUGCAGCUAUAUUUCCUGUUGCACCGAAGAGCCAAGCAGGGCAGCCUGGAUUGGAUCCCUCAAGCUGCCAAGAAAAUCGAGCAAUUGGAGGGUGGUGGGGGGGGGGGGUGAACCUUUCUAAAUAAAUACACAAACGUAGGUAGC